GUUUGUUUUGUUUUGUUUUGUUUUUGAGAUGGAGUCUCGCUCUGUCGCCCAGGCUGGAGUGCAGUGGCGCGAUCUCGGCUCACUGCAAGCUCCGCCUCCCGGGUUCACGCCAUUCUCCUGCCUCAGCCUCUCCGAGUAGCUGGGACUACAGGCGCCCGCCACCACGCCUGGCUAAUUUUUUGUAUUUUUAGUAGAGACGGGGUUUCACCGUGGUCUCGAUCUCCUGACCUCGUGAUCUGCCCGCCUCGGCCUCCCAAAGUGCUGGGAUUACAAGCAUGAGCCACCGUGCCCGGCCUGUCAAUGUUUGUUUUUUAAAGAUCGAAUUCAUCUGAAUGAAGUUCUGUAGCAUGCUUAUAAACUUUUGGAUAGAAAGAAUGAGAGUUGGGCUUUUCUACAAUCCUGUUUGUGUUUCUCAAAGUGUAGUUUUAUGACCAUCAAUGAUAAAAAACCAUUUGGAAUAUUUGUUAAAAAUCAAAUGCGCAGGCUUCUGGGCCAGGCACAGUGGCUCAUGCCUGUAAUCUCAGCAUGGGAGGCCUAUGUACAAGGAUUGCUUGAACCCAGAAGUUUGAGACCAGUCUAAGCAACAUAGUAAGACCCUGUAUCUACAAAAAAUUAAAAAAUUAGCCAGGCAUGCUGGCAUGUGCCUGUAGUCCCAGCUACUCAGGAUCACUUGAGCCCAGGAGUUUGAGGCUGCAGUGAACCAUGAUUGUGCCACUGCUCUACUGGGGGUGGCAGAGUGAGACCUUGAUACACACAUACACACACACAGUCAUGCACAUGCUGUAGGCAGGGAGGAGGUGUUGGUGAGAGCUGGAAUCUGCAUUUAAGAAGUACCCAAAGCCAUAUAUAUUUUGAACAUUCAGUAGAGAACAACUGUUUUUUAAGGUGGUAUAAAUUCAGGCAAAUUUCUAGAACAAAUAACAUAAUUGAAUACAGUGGUUCUUUGCCUUACAUUGUCUUACAUCCUAACAACAUUGUCAAAGAACCUGGGUCCCAUCCUGACAGAAACAAAAAACCCAUUUAUGUUGAUAGUGACAGAUGAUAGUGUACAGAUAUGUUUAUAGUUUGAUUGUUUUUUAACUUCCAGAAGUAGUUUAGUACCCAUUAUUGUUGCAAAUUUUUAGUAAUGCUUGGAUUUUCAUCCCACAUAGACUACUUCCUUUUAGCUGCAGUUGAAAACAAAGGCUUGAAUUCCUGCCUUAUAAUCAUCUAGCCUUCCAUGAAUUCAUACCAUGAUGGGAAACUCAUUAUUAACUAAGUCAACAUAUCCCAUUGAUACAGUUCUAACAUUUCCCUUAUUGUAAAAUACUUUUCUGUAGCUUCCACCCACCAAUCCUAGUUUGAACCCUGAAGUCAUACCAACAAUUCUAAUUUCUCUUCCAGGAGAUAAUUUUUCAAGUACAGGAUUUGCAGAGAACUAUAGAAUAUUAAAUAUCUAUCUAAUUAGACUUCUCUGGUUUCUGUAUUAGAUGUGAAGAAAAUGGAGACUACCAUAGUAAAGGAAGAAUAGCAAAAUAGUGGAGGAAUCAGAAUUAGAAUCCAGAGCCAUUCAGAUUUUAUCUCAUUAACAGGUGCCAAAGUAUUUUUCCUUCCUUGGAAAGAGGGAAAACAUGGAAGACAUCGUAUUUGGAAAGAAAACAAUAUUGUGGAAUAGCCAGACGUGGUGGCUCACACCUGUAAUCCCAGCACUUUGGGAGGCCAAACCCAGCAGAUCACCUAAGGCUUGACUCCUUCUGGGCUCACCGAGGCUGGCAGUAUGGGGAGAAGCAGCAGCUGGUUUCGGCCUUCACAGCUCACAUCUUCCCAGGAGAGAGGUCCUGAGUUAUUGCCCUAAUCUUCUCGAAGCUGUUUCACAGAGACAAGCAUCUGAAUGAAGAGACCCUGCCACAAUGAGGGACUGAGUAAUUAAUUGCCUGAAACACAUGGGUAGUCUGAAAUUUGAGCUUCUUAUAAAGGUGUGACUCACAGCUUUCUUAGAAAAAGAGCACAAAUAUCCACUGCACCAGGAACAGGGAAAUUUCCUUCCCAUCUUCUUCUCUUUCCUAUUAGGAUCUCAUUCUGUAGCCCAGGAUGAAGAGCAGUGGCAUAAUCAUAGCCCACUUCAGCUUUGACCUCUCAGUCUCAAGUGAUCCUCCCCCCUCAGCCUCCUGAGUAGCUGGGACCACAGGUGUGCACCACCAUACCCAGUAAAAGUUACAUUAAGUGUGCCUGGCUCUCCUGUUUCCCCUACCACAUCCUCCACCUCUUCCACCUCUGCCACCCCUGAGACAGCAAGACCAACCCCUCUUCCUGCUCAGCCUACUCAACUUGAAGAGGACACGGAUGAAGACCUUUAUGAUGAUCCACUUCCACUUAAUGAAAGUUAACAUAUUUUCUCUUCUUUGUGAUUUUCUUAUUAAAAUUUUCUUUUCUCUAGCUUACUUUACUGUAAGAACACAGUACAUAAUACAUCUAACACAAAAUAUGUGUUAAUCGACUGUUUAUGUUAUCAGUAAGGCUUCCAGUCAACAGUAGGCUAUUAGUAAGGUGUUUGGGGAGUCGAAAGUUACGCUCAGAUUUUUGACUGCAAGGGUGUCAGCACCCCUGACCCUUGUGUGGUUCAAGAGUCAACUUUUUUUUUAAUUGGCUACUCUCCUUUCUGGAUUUAUGUGUAGAGUAUAUGGAUUAAAUAAGAUAUUUAUAUUUUACUGUGUACAUUUGACUUACAUCGUCUUGAUUUGGUGGUUGAGUGAUCAUUAUAAAAUUGCUGGAAUCCAUUUCCUGUAAGAAUAAAGUAAUUAGCAAUUGGGCAUAAUGGAAAUGGCAUGGGACUAGGAGUUAUAAAACCUGAAUGAUAUAGGCCACACUUAUGUGCUUGUGUAACUAAAUAAAUAUCUGUUUGACU